rnacentral:lncRNA from 1 species
GGGGCUCGAGCGCGGGCGAUAAUCUGCGUGCAUUCGUCGAUAACUGUCUGUAUGCGAAGCACUGACGCGGCCGUGAGCACCUGCAGGGCUUCACCCUGCGCCACAACGAGCGAACCGCUGUACAGGAACUCUACCAGCUGUCGCACUGUCUGCGCGGGCACCACCGGAGGCACACGGAUCUCAGAGUGGCCGAGCAGCAGCUUGUCUUGGAAGAAGGGUGAGCCGGCCGCCAGCACGCAGCGGUGGGCACGCAGCGAAGCUUCACGAAUGCGCACAGUCACGUCACAGAAGUGUCCCCCAAGCCUCUGCCCAUUGAGGGUCUCAAGCAGAGAGCGUGAGAAGUUCUGCAGGUGUAUGUGAUGCACAGCCUCUGCAGCCGCCAUCUGCACAGAACAAGAGGAGGGCAGGGAGAGGUCAACUGAGGACCCCCAUCUGUCCCAACGUCCCUGUCCCCUCACCCCUUGUUGCAGGACAGGGCUCGAGUGCACCACACUCCAAGGCGCGCUAACCCAUCCCUCCCCAGCUGCCCUUCACAGUCCCCAUUCCCAACACAGGACACUCCAGCACUCCCUCCUCCCCCUACCUCAGACCUGGCCAGGCCGUCUACAGCCCCCCAUUAACGCUGCAAACCCUAGCACACCCCUAGGAGAGGGUGUUGGCCUCAAUCACUGCUCCCGAAAAGGUUCAGGCCUUGGCCUACUCUAUGUUGACUCACCCACCCACCCCACCCCAACUCCAAUAACCCUAAGCCUCCCCAUGUGCCCCUCCAAGAGGGCAGCCCGGUGUGUAGAAGAGGCCAGGGACCCCCAUCCCAACUGGCUAACCUGCCUCACCCCGAGUAGACCUUGCUCUCUACCCAGCUAGCUUCCACUCCUCCUCCACCCCUGCUGACAGCUCCUUUUGGUUUCCUUUAGCCACAUCCCCCCAGUAUGAGACCCUGUGCAUAGGCAGGAUUGCUGCCUCAGAACCAGGUCACCUUAACUAGUAUAUACAGAGGCUCUCGCAGGAGUGGGGUGGCAUGACCUGCUUCCUGGGCAGGGUGGUUCUGGGUGUGCCUAGUCACUAAGGGCUGAGGGUAAAAGGUUGGGCAGUACCUUGGGAGAUGCCCCAGGGAAACCAGUACAUGCUCCCUGGCAGCCCCUAGCAUAGCGAGCAGGGAGGUGGCUCCUGCAGCCCCAGCUUCUUGCCAUCUCGAUGGGGCCUGUGGGGCCCAGGGUGUGGGUGUGGCACAGAGAGGGGAAGUGUGGAUUGAGCAGGGGUGUGUGACUGGAUAGCUGCCCAUGGAGUAAUCGGGGACACGGCCCAACAUCAGGCACCAGAAAGGGGAGGGGGUAGUCCUCAGAGGACUCUGGAAUCUGAGGAGUUCUGCUACUCCAUCCAUCAAGCAGGUAAACCGUGAUCCUUCGGCCUGUUUCCCCUUCUAUCAAACAAGGGAUGAGAUACUCGGCUCAUCCCGCACCCAGACUGCACACACCUCCAGUCUAAGGGAGGAGGGUAGGAGCUCUGGACUCUGACAUCCGUAUAGGCUCCACCAGCCUGUCUCUCCCUUGGAGUCACAAAGCCCCAGGGUGGGCUCGGCUUGAUGCUGCCCCUACACCCUCGGGCUCUACUGGGGUCUCAAGAUUCAACCCCUCCGACUCCUUAUGCCCAAUCCGCCGUCCCUUUGCUCAGCCAGACGCCUCCCUUUUUUGCAUGCCCCACAUUUGACCCUCAGACCACUUCGAGCACCUCCACUGCCCCGUUCCCGCUGUCCUGGACGGAUGAAGAAACCUGGCUGGUGUCUCUGCGCCCCUCGCCUCCCCUUCUGUUCCCCACACGGCAGCCAGAGGGAGCUUUUCCAGACUACGGAUCCGGAUACACCACCCCGCUCCCUGGCCCUGUUCUGAGCCUUCUGUGCAAUGCCUCAAAAAAGCCAGGCCUGUGCCCGCGCAAAGGCUAACUCAGCAAGCAGCACCGCCCCAUCUGUAUUCACCUAGCACCUGAAAGGAUUCUAAUCUGUCCGGCCGAUGGGGACGGAAACUUGCGCAUCAACCCGAGAGACUUGAACCUUCCUUUCCCGCCCCGCCCCGCGACGGGCUCCAUUCCUCAGUCCCGACGCCGCAAGGCCGGCCUGGACACUUCAGAACAAAGGCCUGCACUCGAGACCCGGCGCCCAGGCCAGCUUCCCGGGUCCGGCGCCGCACACUCCCGCCACGCCUUCGCCGCGCCGUGUGCUUUACUCCGAGCGCGUUCUCCCAUACUCUGCUCCAUUGCCCGCGCCCCACCCUACGCCCAAAGCACCCCUCUGACCCGCCGCUGCCACCCCGCACUCUGGCCCCCGCCGUACCCCGGUCCUGCAGCGCCCCCUCGCGUUCUCAGCGUGCGCUUCUAGCGGAGCGCAGGUGCCCCUCCCCUGGCACGCCCCAGCCUCCUCGCCCGCCCUGCGGCAGGGGGAUGCCCAUUCGACCCCACCUCCGACUCCUCUUCAGGCACCAGGCUCUGCCGUGGCCGCUUCCUCCUGACCGACUACAAGGCCGCACUUCCGGGCCGUUACCCCGGCGGAACGGAGGCCUGCGGUCGCGGCGGCGCAGGGGAAACCCUAGGCCGAAGCACGUUUCCGGUAUUUUUAUGGCGAUCAGCUCCCGCCAGUCUGCACUCCGGCUCUCCUCUUAGUCGGAACCAAAGUCGAAGAGGCUAGGGCUGCCGCGUCGCGAGGAAUGUCUGGACCAGAGCACUCUUCCGGCGUCGCCCAGGAGAUCAGGGGUGUGGCGGGCCUGCGCGAUCAAUCCGCAAGCUCCCUGUGAUGCAGAAUGGGAAGGCAGUUCCCGGCCCAAGUGCCCAACGUGUUCUGGCCAGUUUAAACCCCACUGCGAACCGGGGAAGUGGCCUUAUUCCUGUGACACGGGUGAGAGCUGAAGUAGGUCUCGGUCCCUGGCCGCCAGGAGGUGCAAGCAAGCUACCACUACUGCAGACGCUCCAGGCCCGCCCGCUGUGGGUGGGACUGGGGAAAGGACCCCAUCUCGGCCUUGGCACCUUCUACUACAACGCAGACAGGAAUAGACAACUGCCUCACCCUGCUCUGGGCCUCCCCUGAGCUAGACCCUGUGAGAUUCUGGGACAUUGCAAGUCAAUCUGGUAUGGGGGACAGAAUUCCGAAAAUGGCCCCCUCCGAGAUUUCCGUGCCCAAAUCCCCAGAACCUGUAAAUAUGAUUAUCUCACCUAUGAAUAGUUACACUACAUGGUGAAAGGGUUUUUGCGGAAAUAAUUAAGGUUACUCAUUAGCUGAUCUUAAAAUAGGAUAUGAUUCUGGAUUAUUUUGGUAGGUCCAAGGUAUCAUAAGGGUCCUUAAAGGCAGAAGAGGAAGGUGGAGAAACUUGAAGUAGGAGAAGGGUUCCAGAGGCUUUGAAGGUAGAGAGGUCCAUGAGAGGAAAUGCAACAGGACAGGUGUCAUGCUGAGAAUCUGAGAAGAGCUGCAACAACAGCCAGCAAGAAAACAGACCUCAUGGCCCGGCGCAGUGGCUCAUGCCUGUAAUCCCAGCACUUUGGGAGGCCAAGGCGGGUGGAUCACGUCAGGAGAUCGAGACCAUCCUGACUAACACAGUGAAACCCCAUCUCUACUAAAAAUACAGAAAAUUAGCUGGGCGUGGUGGCAGGCGCCUGUAGUCCCAGCUACUCGGGAGACUGAGGCAGGAGACUGGCAUGAACCCGGGAGGCGGAGCUUGAAGUGAGCUGAGAUCGCGCCACUGCACUCCAGCCUGGGCGACAGAACGAGACUCCGUCUCAAAAAAAAAAAAAAAAAAAAAAAAAAAAAAAGGCCGGGCGCGGUGGCUCACGCCUGUAAUCCCAGCACUGUGGGAGGCCGAGGCGGGCGGAUCAUGAGGUCAGGAGAUCGAGACCAUCCUGGCUAACACGGUGAAACCCCGUCUCUACUAAAAAUACAAAAAAAAAUUAGCCGAGCGCGGUGGCAGGCGCCUGUAGUCCCAGCUACUCAGGAGGCUGAGGCAGGAGAAUGGCGUGAACCCGGGAGGCGGAGCUUGCAGUGAGCCAAGAUAGCGCCACUGCAGUCGGGCCUGGGCGAAAGAGCGACACUCAGUCUCAAAAAAAAAAAAAAAAAAGAAAGAAAGAAAAGAAAACAGACCUUAGCCCUAGAAGUGCGUGGAGCUAGAUUCCGCCCACAACCUGAAUGAGCUUGGAAGCAAAUUCUUCCCCAGAGCCUCCAGAUAGCAGCUUAGUCCAUACCACACCUUGAUUUUAGCCUUUAUGAGACCCACAGAAGACCUACUUGGGCUUCUGACCUAUGGAAUGGUGAGCUAAUAAAUGGAUAUUGUUUUAACCUAUGGAGUUUUGGUAAUUUGUUAUAGUAACGAUAGAAAACAAAUACAUCUGGUGAGAUCCAGGGCCUCCACACAGUGAGAGUCCAAUAAAUGCCACUAUUUGUUUCCCAUCUGAUGAACGCAUUCCUCACAUUUCCCUCACUGAAAGCUUUAUUUCUGUGCCUUCCCAGCUUUUACCAGGCCCCUUCGUGA